ensembl:lncRNA
UAAAAAUACACUAUAUUCUUAUAAACAUACCCGAGAUGGUUUGCAGAACAAGAUAAUAUCUUCACGAUCAUGGUCACGACUGCUGGAUGUUUUAGUCAUGGUUUUAGCGUUUUAGCCAUGGUUUUAGCGUUUUAGCCAGAGAAUUUCUACACGAGGUCGAGGAUAUUUGCGGGAGAGUCUACUUCUAUGAACGAGUUGGGACAUCGCGUACAGGCUACUGCAAGAGAGGGCGCCAUCUGGCUUCGAGUCCAUCUCAUUCACUUCGUUUGCGCCACAUGGGCACAAUGAGUGAAGAACUGCACAAGCUGUCAAACAAGACGGCCACAGGGCUUGCUUAUAUCCAAGCAAAUGGCUCGAUGGGGGAGUUGUCCUUCCCCAAUGUUCAGGGUAUACAGCUCCCCUUGGACAACCUGGAAGACCUGAAGCAGUUUGACUCACAGCUGAGGCAAGACACAGACGUUCAGGACAUACUGGAGCCAUAAGGAAGAAUCCUUCCACCCAGGAUGCCACUGAUGAGGCUGUCCAGAACCAGAUCACCAGGUACCUGAAAGGGGCAGCAGACCAUGCAGGUGGGGGAUGGGGUCGUGGCGGUGCAGGGGACCUGCCGUGAAUAUGAAUGAUCAACCGAUAUUGAUAUGAUCACAUUAUCCUCCUGAUAUAUUUAAAGCUGGUUGAAUGUUCUUAAUAUGUCACCAUUCAUAAGCUUAUUGCACUGAUGUGUCUAAAAUAGUCAAUACCUCUGUACAGUUAUGUAUAUUGUUGCUUUGUUUUAUUAUUAUUUUAUGUCUAGCUAUGUUUUUGCUUAUACUCUUAACUCUAACUAGGUAGUUUGUCGGGUGCCAUGUCAUAAGAAUAUCAUCGUGCUUGGUUUCUAGCCCUUGUUUAUUU